GGUUCCUACCAACAGAGUGCUGACUGUGAGCAGGGCACUGUGUGGACACUUUACAAGCAUUUUGCUGUUUAAUAUUCACAUCAAUGCUAGGAGUUAUGUCCGUUUUACAGACAAAGAAACUGAGAGGAAGAGGUCCAUGGCUAAUAAAUCAUAGAGCUGGGAUUUCUGUCUGACUUCUCUGCUUUGCCCAGGAAGAAGGGGCAAAGUCUACCCCAGGGGCAGAUGACCCAAUAAGCAAGGGUUCUGCUUCUAGGUAUGGCUGGCAUCUGUCUCUCUCCCAGCCCCACAACACCAUCCUACAGAUUCAAAGCCUCUUUUCAAAUACAAUACCUGACAGGGAUAGAGUACCCAGUAAGCCAAGCAUGACAACCAGCAACGUUCCAGAGACUGGCUGCUCCAUCAUUCCAGGUCCAGAAGGGAAAACAAGGAGCAGGACUGUAGCUGACCCAUGAUGGACAUGUAGCGUGAGCAAGAAGUUCUCCCUCAUGGAAGGCAAGAAUUCUACCGCUGAACCACCACUGCCCCCUACUGUGAA